rnacentral:rRNA from 1 species
UACGGAGGAGGCAAGCGUUAUCCGGAAUUAUUGGGCGUAAAGCGUCCGUAGGUGGCUCUUCAAGUCUGCUGUCAAAGAGUGGGGCUUAACCCUGCAAAGGCAGUGGAAACUGAAAGGCUAGAGAGCCGUAGGGGGAGAGGGAAUUCCCGGUGUAGCGGUGAAAUGCGCAGAUAUCAGGAGGAACACCGGUGGCGAAGGCGGGUCUCUGGGCCGAUACUGACGCUGAGGAGCGAAAGCGUGGGGAGCGAACAGG